AUUGAACGCUGGCGGCUGGCCUAACACAUGCAAGUCGAGCGGAGCGGCGGACGGGCGAGUAAUGCCUAGGAAUCUGCCUGGUAGUGGGGGAUACCGUCCGGAAACGGGCCCUACUACCGCAUACUAUCAGAUGAGCCUCUGUCGGCUUAGCUCGUUGUUGGGGUAAAGGCCUACCAGGGCGACGAUCCGUAACUGGUCUGCGAGGAUGAUCAGGCACACGGGAACUGAGAAACGGUCCAGACUCCUACGGGUGGCAGCAGUGGGGAAUAUUGGACAAGGGGCGAAAGCCUGAUCCAGCCAUGCCGCGGGUGUGAAGAAGGGCUUCGGAUUGUAAAGCACUUUAAGUUGGGAGGCGUUACCAACAGAAUAAGCACCGGCUAACUUCGUGCCAGCAGCCGCGGUAAUUC
rnacentral:rRNA from 1 species